rnacentral:rRNA from 1 species
CUUGGUUGGUAAGGUAAUGGGCUUACCAAGGCUACGAUCUUUAGCUGGUCUGAGAGGACGAUCAGCCACAUUGGGACUGAGACACGGCCCAGACUCCUACGGGAGGCAGCAGUGGGGAAUAUUGGACAAUGGGCGCAAGCCUGAUCCAGCCAUACCGCGUGUGUGAAGAAGGCCUUCGGGUUGUAAAGCACUUUAAGCAGGGAGAAAAAGCAAUAAGUUAAUACCUUAUUGCCGUGAUGUUACCUGCAGAAUAAGCACCGGCUAAUUCCGUGCCAGCAGCCGCGGUAAUACGGAAGGUGCAAGCGUUAAUCGGAAUUACUGGGCGUAAAGCGCGCGUAGGUGGUUUGUUAAGUUGGAUGUGAAAGCCCUGGGCUCAACCUAGGAACUGCAUCCAAAACUAACUCACUAGAGUACGAUAGAGGGAGGUAGAAUUCAUAGUGUAGCGGUGGAAUGCGUAGAUAUUAUGAAGAAUACCAGUGGCGAAGGCGGCCUCCUGGAUCUGUACUGACACUAAGGUGCGAAAGCGUGGGUAGCGAACAGGAUUAGAUACCCUGGUAGUCCACGCCGUAAACGAUGACAACUAGCUGUUGGGAGACAAUGUCUUUCAGUGGCGCAGCUAACGUUUUAAGUUGUCCGCCUGGGGAGUACGGCCGCAAGGCUAAAACUCAAAUGAAUUGACGGGGACCCGCACAAGCGGUGGAGCAUGUGGUUUAAUUCGAUGCAACGCGAAAAACCUUACCUACUCUUGACAUACUUGGAAGCUCUUGUAAUGAGAGUGUGCCUUUUGGAGCCAAGAUACAGGUGCUGCAUGGCUGUCGUCAGCUCGUGUCGUGAGAUGUUCCGUUAAGUCGGAUAACGAGCGCAACCCUUACCCUUAUUUGC